rnacentral:lncRNA from 1 species
ACGAGCCGUGCUGUUAAGCCUAACACCAAUUCCUGUUCAUGCCACAUCUGCUGAAAUGAAAAAUGGCGUGUUCGGGCAAAGUGGAUAGGGUAUUCUCAAUAGAAAACAUAUAGGGGAAGGUGGCCCAAAGUGGAUCAGAGCCUAAAGUGAAUCAAUGAAAAUAUCUCAAUGAUUCUGACAGAGGUCAGCACUCGCUCUCCAUAUGUGCUGUGCUCUAGAGUAACCUUAAAUGUACACGUGUCGAUUUUGUGUGCGGCAAAUAACCAGCAAGAAAAAGGUAAUAUCCAAAAUUUAUGCGAUUUGCUAAAAUAUUUCACCUCUAAAUGAUCUUGUGUGAUUAGUAAAUGAAUCAGAUCAUGAUUGCACGUAAAAUCUAAUUCAAAUACGGUGUCCAAGGCCUUCAGAACGAGACGCGUUGUUAAGCGUAACACCUGUACAUGCCACAUCUGCUGAAAUAAAAAAUGGCGUGUUCGGGCAAAGUGGAUAAGGUAAAGUUGGUCAAUGAUCCACUUUAGCCUGUUUAUCAAUGGUUGGUUGUUAAGUGUUUUGAUUUUUUCUUUACAGAUAAGUGUAAUGGUAAAUAAAUACAAAUCUAAAAAUUUGCACGGCAAAUGGUCUGAGGCCAGCCUUGCUGCUGCAAUGGCUGCUGUUAAAAAAGGGGUAGUAACCAUCCGGAAAGCUUCAUCAUCAUACGGCAUACCGUUUAGCACACUCAUCGCCAUUUAAAGACUGGUUCUUCUGCAAAGCAACUUUGUCGUUUUAGGACAGUCUUCUCAAAAAUGGAAGAAGAACUAGUAGCAUACAUAAAGGAAAUGGACAGCAACCCUUCUGUAUCCACAACCCAGGAGGUAUCUUGCGUCGGUUGUGGGGAAGAGUACUGUGAACUCAUUGUAGAAGAUUGGAUUCAGUGUGCUUCUUGCACUCUAUGGGCCCAUGAAAAUUCUACUCCGUAUGAAGGAGUUGGAGUGUUUUAUUGCAGUGGAUGCAAAAGAUAAAACUUAAUUAAAAUAAAUUACUUUUCUUUUCUAUUGGAACAAGUAUUUCUUUUGUAAAAGUAAUGCAAUUGAGAAAUAAAGGUUUAACAGCUCUUGAAAACCGAUAAACUUUAAUUUAUUCAUAAAAGGGAAAAAAUAAACCAUUUAAAAAUAUGUGAUCCACUUUGUCCUUGUUCAUGAUCCACUUUAUACCGAAUUGCGGGCAUAGCGGAUCAGUUGCAAACUUUUAGAAAAGCUGCAAAAUUACUUAUUUCCACUAAUUUGCACGGUUUGGUAUUUAUUCCACAUAUAGCUAAUAAACUAUGAAGCAGAUGAUACAGGUUUUAUAUUAAUUAUCAUUUUAUUCUGUUUAUUUCAGUCUAUUUUUCCUUAAGUGAUUUACUUUGGGCCACCUUCCCCUACAGAGAUUGUUUCACCUUCCCAGCAAACCAGAGCUACUUCUGGAAAUAAUAACUAUAACGUAAAAAAAGAGCUCUUGAAUUUAUAGCAGUUACUAUCAGGUGUCGACAUUCAUAAUAACUGAAUAUUUUGAUAAAAAAUUAAUAUCAGUACUGAGCAAAAUUAACCAGCAAGAAUGGAUAUCAGUAUUAAACUAUACGGUAAUUUGCCUGACUGACACCUGGUGUACAGACGAUGACAAUACCUCUACUCAAUGUAUGAUCACUGUGCAUACGCACUUGUACAGAUCCACUGACCAAAGAAGAGAUGAGGAAGGGUAUUUAUCGGUUAUUGAUAUAGUUCCUAUUCUGUCUCUAUAUUGUUAUUACGGAAGGAUCGCUAAUUGUUCUGCGUUUUACAAAAAUACAUUUAAUUAUUGUGUGCAUCUAUGUCUCCUAGUGAGCUAGAUACUGAUAAAAUCAAUUCAAUAAUUAAAUUCAAUGGAAUUUUAAAUAAAUAUAUCCAUCAUCAGUUUAUUUUUGUUAUAAAAAUUUUUAUGUUUAAAUCGCUGAUGAUGGAUAUAAAUAUAUCCAUCAUCAGCGAUUUCAAUUUUUAUAGCAUUUCUUGGUCAGAUCGACAACCGAUUUACAUACAUGAACACACGUUGGUUACACAUUCAUAUAUAGACGUGUGUGUGUGUGUGUGUGUGUGUGUGUGUGUGUGUG